UCCGCAGGCAAGAUGGCGGCCGUGGAGUUGGCGGAGUCCGGCGGCGGCCUCAGCGCCCCCGGGGGGUCCUUGAGUCUCCUCUGCAAGGCCUCGGGCUUCACCUUUGGUGACUACGACAUGAUGUGGGUGCGGCAACGCCCCGGGAAGGGCCUGGAGUUCGUCGCGAGCAUCAACUGGAAUGGCGGCUACAUCUACUACGCGCCGUCGGUCCGGGACCGCUUCACCAUCUCCAGGGACAACGCCCAGAGCACGUUGAGGCUGCAGAUGAACAACCUCAAGGCCGAGGACACCGCCACCUACUACUGCGCCAAAGCUGGUGGUGGUUAUGCUGGUGGUGCUGGUUAUGGUGGCACCAGGCCCGGCCCCGGCGCGACCUCCAGCAGCACCAAAUUCCCGGUUUCGAGGCCGCGUUCGGAAAAUGGAAGGUUCGGAAUGGCAAAAGUUUGGGUUUUCCGGCAACGCCUCGAAAUGGCAAAUUGUGCCUCAGUUCCCACACUUUGCCUCAUGACCUAA